UGGAGAUGUAGCUUAGUGGUAGGGCAUUUCCCUGUCAUGCAUAAGGCCCUGAGUUCGAUUCUCAGCACUUCAA
rnacentral:tRNA from 1 species